GACUAUGAAGAUUCAGAAAUGAAGACGACGGAAGACGGAAGCAAAGAGGAAUCUGGAAUGACUAUGAAGAUUCAAAAAUGAAGACGACGGAAGCAAAGACGAAUCUGGAAUCUUCUCAGAAACAGGAUUAUGGAGAUUCAGAAAUGAAGACGAUGGAGGACGAAAAAAAGACCAAUCUAGAAUGUAUGUGAAU